CAGAGCCGCGGUAAUACGUAGGAUCCGAGCGUUGUCCGGAAUUACUGGGUGUAAAGGGCGUGUAGGUGGAACUUUAAGUCGGUGGUGAAAGCCUGCAGCUUAACUGCAGAACUGCCUUCGAUACUGAAGUUCUUGAGUGCGGCAGAGGGAGAUGGAAUUCAUGGUGUAGCGGUGAAAUGUGUAGAUAUCAUGAAGAACACCGGUAGCGAAGGCGGUCUCCUGGUCCGUAACUGACACUGAGGCGCGAAAGCGUGGGGAGCAAACAGGAUUAGAUACCCUGGUAGUCCACGCCUUAAACGAUGGGUACUAGGUGCUGGGCCGCAAGGUUCAGUGCCAAAGCUAACGCAUUAAGUACCCCACCUGGGGAGUACGAUCGCAAGGUUGAAACUCAAAGGAAUUGACGG
rnacentral:rRNA from 1 species